UUCCUUCUAUUCAAUGAACUUCUUUUAAACAGUGAAGCUUUUGCUACUUUAAGCUGUCUGUUAGUUCAGUUUCAUUAUGAUACUUCAGUCUAUAAUAAAGGCUCUCUCUGGGGAGUCAAAUGAUCCCUAUUAUAAAUCUGUAACACUCAGUCACAAGCUUAGACAUGAAAGUAUUUGACAGAGUAACAAUGGUCAGUAUCAGCUUAUACUAUCUGCUCUGUGAAUAAAUGUAAACAAAUAUUAGAUGCCAGUUUUGUCACAGCCACAGCUUAAGGCUGUGGUAGUGCUCUCUCCUCCUCCGGCCCUGCUCUCUCUCUUCUAGGUGUGUCGUGUGAAGCUGGUGACAGGUGUGGUGUAUUACAAUCAGCAGACGAGGUUCAGGUGGGAGCUGCCUGAUUGGUCUUCUGGCGUCUCCAUAAAAGCAGUCUGCACUCGUCAUUUGAAGCUGGACCGUCGUCUUAUCUCCAAAAGCUGAUUCCUGCCUGCUGAGUUGCCUGGGUUCCUUUGUCUGCUGGUUCUCCGCUCUGCCACCGAUUCUGCUUCCUUCUCCAGAGGAUCUCCACCUGUCGCCAGCUUUAACCUGGGAACAUCGGCUUACACCUUCUCUGGAAACACCUACCACGACCGGAUUCACAGACGCCAACCUACCAAUCGCAUGGCGAACACCUGGAGGGAGAGUUCUAGAUGAAGUCAAACCUAAGGACUGUUUCUCAGCUCAUCAGCUGAGUCUCCAAGCCCUAGUAUCACCAGACUGUUUGUAUUGUUAAUACGUCGAAUUAAAUAAUUAGUGUUCCGUAUUUAACUUAGUGUGUUUUAUGCUUUGCAUAAGAUAGUUUUAGUCUGGGGUUUCAGCUCAGAAUUACUGGUAGUCUAGGCUGGGUUAGUUUUGUAUUUCAGUUGUUUUCCUGCUUUGGUGUUACCAUCUGUGGGUUAACUGUAGUUUUCAGUUGUAGUUAUUCCUGGUUUCUAGUUCCACUUCAUGUACAAAAUCUUUGGUAUGGUAAAUAAAGCAUUGUUAAAAC
ensembl:lncRNA